rnacentral:rRNA from 1 species
UACGGGGGAGCAAGCGUUGUUCGGAUUUACUGGGCGUAAAGGGCGCGUAGGCGGUCAGCACAAGUCAGUUGUGAAAUCUCCGGGCUUAACUCGGAAAGGUCAACUGAUACUGUGCGACUAGAGUGCAGAAGGGGCAACUGGAAUUCCUGGUGUAGCGGUGGAAUGCGUAGAGAUCCGGAAGAACACCGGUGGCGAAGGCGGCCUGCUGGGCAGUAGCUGACGCUGAAGCGCGACAGCGUGGGGAGCAAACAGG